rnacentral:rRNA from 1 species
GACGAACGCUUGCGGCGUGCUUAACACGUGCAAGUCGAACGGAAAGGCCCUGCUUUUGUGGGGUGCUCGAGUGGCGAACGGGUGAGUAACACGUGAGUAACCUGCCCUUGACUUUGGGAUAACUUCAGGAAACUGGGGCUAAUACCGGAUAGGAGCUCCUGCUGCAUGGUGGGGGUUGGAAAGUUUCGGCGGUUGGGGAUGGACUCGCGGCUUAUCAGCUUGUUGGUGGGGUAGUGGCUUACCAAGGCUUUGACGGGUAGCCGGCCUGAGAGGGUGACCGGCCACAUUGGGACUGAGAUACGGCCCAGACUCCUACGGGAGGCAGCAGUGGGGAAUAUUGCACAAUGGGCGGAAGCCUGAUGCAGCAACGCCGCGUGCGGGAUGACGGCCUUCGGGUUGUAAACCGCUUUCGCCUGUGACGAAGCGUGAGUGACGGUAAUGGGUAAAGAAGCACCGGCUAACUACGUGCCAGCAGCCGCGGUGAUACGUAGGGUGCGAGCGUUGUCCGGAUUUAUUGGGCGUAGAGGGCUCGUAGGUGGUUGAUCGCGUCGGAAGUGUAAUCUUGGGGCUUAACCCUGAGCGUGCUUUCGAUACGGGUUGACUUGAGGAAGGUAGGGGAGAAUGGAAUUCCUGGUGGAGCGGUGGAAUGCGCAGAUAUCAGGAGGAACACCAGUGGCGAAGGCGGUUCUCUGGGCCUUUCCUGACGCUGAGGAGCGAAAGCGUGGGGAGCGAACAGGCUUAGAUACCCUGGUAGUCCACGCUGUAAACGGUGGGUACUAGGUGUGGGGUCCAUUCCACGGGUUCCGUGCCGUAGCUAACGCUUUAAGUACCCCGCCUGGGGAGUACGGCCGCAAGGCUAAAACUCAAAGGAAUUGACGGGGCCCCGCACAAGCGGCGGAGCAUGCGGAUUAAUUCGAUGCAACGCGUAGAACCUUACCUGGGUUUGACAUGGAUCGGGAGUGCUCAGAGAUGGGUGUGCCUCUUUUGGGGUCGGUUCACAGGUGGUGCAUGGCUGUCGUCAGCUCGUGUCGUGAGAUGUUGGGUUAAGUCCCGCAACGAGCGCAACCCUUGUUCACUGUUGCCAGCACGUUAUGGUGGGGACUCAGUGGAGACCGCCGGGGUCAACUCGGAGGAAGGUGGGGAUGACGUCAAGUCAUCAUGCCCCUUAUGUCCAGGGCUUCACGCAUGCUACAAUGGCUGGUACAGAGAGUGGCGAGCCUGUGAGGGUGAGCGAAUCUCGGAAAGCCGGUCUCAGUUCGGAUUGGGGUCUGCAACUCGACCUCAUGAAGUCGGAGUCGCUAGUAAUCGCAGAUCAGCAACGCUGCGGUGAAUACGUUCCCGGG